rnacentral:rRNA from 1 species
GCNCUANCGNUCUGGGNCACUCNCUCUANAACAUGCAAGUCGAACGAUGAAGCCCUUCGGGGUGGAUUAGUGGCGAACGGGUGAGUAACACGUGGGCAAUCUGCCCUUCACUCUGGGACAAGCCCUGGAAACGGGGUCUAAUACCGGAUAACACCUGCCCGGGCAUCUGGGUGGGUUAAAAGCUCCGGCGGUGAAGGAUGAGCCCGCGGCCUAUCAGCUUGUUGGUGAGGUAGUGGCUCACCAAGGCGACGACGGGUAGCCGGCCUGAGAGGGCGACCGGCCACACUGGGACUGAGACACGGCCCAGACUCCUACGGGAGGCAGCAGUGGGGAAUAUUGCACAAUGGGCGAAAGCCUGAUGCAGCGACGCCGCGUGAGGGAUGACGGCCUUCGGGUUGUAAACCUCUUUCAGCAGGGAAGAAGCGAAAGUGACGGUACCUGCAGAAGAAGCGCCGGCUAACUACGUGCCAGCAGCCGCGGUAAUACGUAGGGCGCAAGCGUUGUCCGGAAUUAUUGGGCGUAAAGAGCUCGUAGGCGGCUUGUCACGUCGGGUGUGAAAGCCCGGGGCUUAACCCCGGGUCUGCAUUCGAUACGGGCUAGCUAGAGUGUGGUAGGGGAGAUCGGAAUUCCUGGUGUAGCGGUGAAAUGCGCAGAUAUCAGGAGGAACACCGGUGGCGAAGGCGGAUCUCUGGGCCAUUACUGACGCUGAGGAGCGAAAGCGUGGGGAGCGAACAGGAUUAGAUACCCUGGUAGUCCACGCCGUAAACGGUGGGAACUAGGUGUUGGCGACAUUCCACGUCGUCGGUGCCGCANCUAACGCAUUAAGUUCCCCGCCUGGGGAGUACGGCCGCANGGUUAAACUCAANGNAUUGACGGGGGCCCNCACAANCAACGGAACUGUGGGUUAA